rnacentral:lncRNA from 1 species
UCUUUCCCUUUGUGUCCUGCUCAAUCAAUCUUCACCCACAAGGUAGCGUGGACUCACAAGAGAAGGUCUAGCACCCGGCAGGAGGAAGGAAGUGCAGAACAAGAGCUCACGAGAUGAACUCACCCUACGUUUCCUGAAAUAAUUUGACUCUGGGAAGAACCUCAGAAGCGAUCCUCUCUAACCUUCUCGUUUUAUACAUAAGGCACAGAGAGGGACAGUGACUAGCUCAAGGUCACAUAGCAGAUUGGUGACUGAGCUGGGAUCUGGCCCCAGCACUGUCCCAAAGUGAGAAACACUUUAUGUAGCAUGGCCGCCUAUGGCUCCCUGCACAGGCUAGGUGGAGUUAGCCACUCUCUCUGCUGUAGGUUUUUUUGCAUUAUUCUCUCAUCUCAUUUCUGCUGCAUCAAUGUCAAUGUCUUCAUUCUUCAUUCUGAAACAUGAGCUGUGUAUUAGCCAGCGUGGGCUUAUUCUGUGGGAACAAGCCACCCCCAAAUCUCGGUGCUUUAGCCCCUACAAGCUUAUGCUUCCCUCCUAAAUCCCUCCCACGUGGGAAUCAAGUCUUCCAUGAGCCCCAUGUGUUUGAGUCCUGGUAACGUCUGCCACAGCCCAUGACAGAGCCCAUGUCUUCACUAUGUGUGACACAUAGAAGUCACUCAGCAACUACUAGAAUAUGCAAAUAAAUGACACAAAACAAGAAAGGAACGGAGGGGACAAGGGAGGGAUGAGAUUUCUCCCUGGGCCUGACUCUCCUCUGCCUGGUGUGUCAUUUAACCCCCAAGAAUCAGGGGAGAAUCGAAAGAGCCAGAGACUCAAGAGUCCAGAGGUAUGUGGUAAAGUCCCCACUUGGCCACCAACCCGUCUGUGUGGCUUUGGACACGUCAUUUCCCUUAGCUGGACAGUUUUCCUACCAGUAAAGGACACCAUGGGGCUAUUAGAAGGACCCUGCAGGCUGCCGUGUCCGUGCAGAAGCAAACCGAAGGGUGUGCUUAAGAGGGUGAGCA